rnacentral:lncRNA from 1 species
CCCUAAAAAUAAGUAUCAAUCAACACAUAUUUUAAUACUUUAUGUGUUAAAUUAUUGUACUUAUCAUUAUCUUUCAAUACUCAAAUUCUAAUAAGUGGUAUCAGAGCUUGAUUCUACCAAAUUCAAAGUACUGAAGAAAGACUUGAGAUACUAAUAGAUGGAGGAUCAAUCUUUAUCGGACACUAUGGUCAAGCUAACAUCAACCAACUACUCAACAUGGGAGCCUCAUAUGGAAGACCUUCUUUACUGCAAAGAUCUUCACGAUCUAAUCGAUGGAGUUAUUGUUUAGCCCAAUAAGAUGUCAAAUAAAGAAUGAGAGAAACUGAAUCACAAAAUCAUUUGGCUCAUCCGGCAGUUGAUUGAUGAUAG